CUGACAAUGAGAACAAUUAAUCAAUGGCAUGGUUUGCCUCUGAAAGUUGUGGGUGGCCUAUCAUUGGAGGUUUCCAAGAAGAGAUGGGCCAGCCAUUUGUCUGGGAUGCAAUAGGACCUCCUGCCUU